rnacentral:rRNA from 1 species
CACGUAGGCACCAAGCGUUGUCCGGAUUUAUUGGGCGUAAAGAGCUCGUAGGCGGUGUGUCGCGUCGGUCGUGAAAACUUGGGGCUUAACCCUGAGCUUGCGGUCGAUACGGGCAUCACUGGAGUUCGGCAGGGGAGACUGGAAUUCCUGGUGUAGCGGUGAAAUGCGCAGAUAUCAGGAGGAACACCGGUGGCGAAGGCGGGUUGCUGGGCUGAUACUGACGCUGAGGCGCGAAAGCCAGGGGAGCGAACGGG